ACUCAAAUGAAUUGACGGGGGCCCGCACAAGCGGCGGAGCAUGCGGAUUAAUUCGAUGCAACGCGAAGAACCUUACCAAGGCUUGACAUAUACGAGAACGCACUGGAGACAGUGAACUCUUUGGACACUCGUAUACAGGUGGUGCAUGGUUGUCGUCAGCUCGUGUCGUGAGAUGUUGGGUUAAGUCCCGCAACGAGCGCAACCCUCGUCCUAUGUUGCCAGCACGUAAUGGUGGGAACUCAUGGGAUACUGCCGGGGUCAACUCGGAGGAAGGUGGGGAUGAGGUCAAAUCAUCAUGCCCCUUAUGUCUUGGGCUUCACGCAUGCUACAAUGGCCGGUACAAUGGGCUGCGAUACCGCAAGGUGGAGCGAAUCCCAAAAAGCCGGUCUCAGUUCGGAUUGAGGUCUGCAACUCGACCUCAUGAAGUCGGAGUCGCUAGUAAUCGCAGAUCAGCAACGCUGCGGUGAAUACGUUCCCGGGCCUUGUACACACCGCCCGU
rnacentral:rRNA from 1 species